AUAUUGAGCAGCAAGCCUUUGACGGUAUUAAUACAUCGCUCGCGAUUGAUCCAGACAGCGCAGCCGCUGGUAAAACAAGAUCCAUCUCCAACAUUUUUUAUGAGAAAUAAAAAUUUUAGAUUUUUUUUUGUUUAUGAUAAAUAAUUUUUUUUUUUUUUUUAGAUUUCAUACAAUUUAUGACCCAACCCGGCUUCCAGACAGUUAUCGAUCUCACGCAAGAUGGCGACGAAGAUCCCACCGUCAACGUAACAGACAAACCUCACAUCCUACCUGAUUCCACUCUGGCGCACGUCGAGAAUCCAAUAGGAUCCUGCGGCGAACCACUUCCUGGACCCAGCGACGAACCAGCAAGAAAGAAGCCUAGAAAAACAAAUCGUCCCACCUCGCCGGUACGGACCAGACGGCGAACCACCAAGAAAGACUUAUCGUUUUACUCCGGCGAUCAGUCCUGAGAGCUCUCCAGAGAGGAAAACUCUUUGUCUGACACCACCGAACAGCCCGGCGACCAGUCCUGAGACCGAGCUGUUUUAUGCAGACUCGAGUAGAAGCCAUAAGGAUGACGUGACAACCUGGGGUAUGGCUCAAAUCGAUGCUUGGGACCAGAGUUCUUGGACGAG